UUCAUAUUCUUUUUAUUUUGGCUUAUUAUAGGGUAUUGACUAUAGUUCUCUAUACUAUACAGUAGAACUUUGUUGUUUAUCUAUUUUAUAUACAACAGUAGUUCGUACUGCUAAUAUCAGACUCCCAAUUUAUCCCUCAGUACCCUCUUUCCCCUUGAUAAUCAUGUUUUUUCUCUGUCUUGUGGGUCUCUUUCUGUUUCAUAAGUUAGUUCACUUGUAUCAUAUUCAUAAUUUUGAUUCCACAUAUAAGUGCUAUCAUAUGGUAUUUGUCUUUCCCUUUCUGUUUUAUGACCUGAGACUUGAAAUAAGUGAUACAGGUGACAAGAAAAGGACAUUUGAGGUAGGGAAAGUAACAAGCCUUCUGAGUUUUAAAAUGAACUAUGGGUUAAUGCAUUUGGCGCUCCAAGAUAAUUUACAUGUUUUCUUCCAAGGCUGUAUCUUUCCAGCAUACAUUGCCUCUUUACUCAUGCCUAAUUUUCUCUUCAGUGGUUUGGAUAAUUAUGAGUUCAGUGUUCAGGACCAUGUUCUUUUAAUUUUAUUUUUCCUGAGGGCUACAUGAAUACCAGGCUCUUCAUAGGCUACUGAAAUGAGGAAGGCUCUGACCCAAAACUCAGGGGGAUUUUGUACCGCAUAGUUGCCUUAUGGCCAAUAAGCUGUGCCAUGAAACUGCUUGCAGAAAUGUUCUUAAGGUGAAAAUGCUAAGAGCCUUCUAGCCCAGCCCUCUGAGGGUGGUUUGGGCACUCUCAUCGACUGCAGAUCUUCCAUGUCUGACUCUAGUCAUCUAAAAAAACAGAACUAGGGACUCGGUGUCAUCCUUGCUGAUCCCUGAAAUCAUCUCCUACGCAAGAAGCCCUCCUGCAAUGCAUUUUAAUUAGUAGUGUCUUCUGUCUAUGGGGUCGCACAGAGUCGGACACGACUGAAGCGACUUAGCCGCAGCAGAGAUGAGAAUGGAGGUUGCUGAGAGGACCUGGUCUUAUACGGUAAUGUAUUAAGUACCAUUACAAAAACUGUGCAGUACGCUAUGAGAGUUUGGAGAAGAAGAGAACAGGUUCCCUGCAGACUUUUUUUUUGAACACUAUCAAAUAGUAGUGGCCUCACUUGCACCUAGCACUCAUCAGUUUAUUUUCCUACCAUGUUGGGGUUCCUAGGUCCACCCUUAGGUUCUACAGUUCACCGGGAGGAUUCACAAGACUCAGCAUAAAAGUCAUAAUCAGGGCUAAAA